AGAGUUUGAUCAUGGCUCAGAUUGAACGCUGGCGGCAGGCCUAACACAUGCAAGUCGAGCGGAAACGAUCCUAGCUUGCUAGGAGGCGUCGAGCGGCGGACGGGUGAGUAACGCGUGAGAAUCUACCCAUGAGUGGGGGACAACCCGGGGAAACUCGGGCUAAUACCGCAUACGCCCUACGGGGUAAAGCAGGGGACCUUCGGGCCUUGCGCUGAUGGAUGAGCUCGCGUCGGAUUAGCUUGUUGGUGAGGUAAAGGCUCACCAAGGCGACGAUCCGUAGCUGGUCUGAGAGGAUGAUCAGCCACACCGGGACUGAGACACGGCCCGGACUCCUACGGGAGGCAGCAGUGGGGAAUCUUGGACAAUGGGGGCAACCCUGAUCCAGCCAUGCCGCGUGUGUGAAGAAGGCCUUCGGGUUGUAAAGCACUUUCAGUAGGGAGGAAGGCUUACCCCUAAUACGGGUGAGUACUUGACGUUACCUACAGAAGAAGCACCGGCUAAUUUCGUGCCAGCAGCCGCGGUAAUACGAAAGGUGCAAGCGUUAAUCGGAAUUACUGGGCGUAAAGCGCGCGUAGGCGGUGUGUUAAGUCGGAUGUGAAAGCCCAGGGCUCAACCUUGGAAUUGCAUCCGAUACUGGCACGCUAGAGUGCAGUAGAGGGAGGUGGAAUUUCCGGUGUAGCGGUGAAAUGCGUAGAGAUCGGAAGGAACACCAGUGGCGAAGGCGGCCUCCUGGACUGACACUGACGCUGAGGUGCGAAAGC
rnacentral:rRNA from 1 species